ACCAUCCAUGUCUUGGGAAGCAAAAUGUCCAAUGAUCGAUAAGUGAGGUUAUUGUUGCUGACACCAAUUAAAAUCAAAAAUCUAAAAAAGUGAAUUAUGUAAUA
rnacentral:ncRNA from 1 species